rnacentral:rRNA from 1 species
GGGGGGGGGGGGGGGCGGGGGGAGGGCGGGGGGGUGGGGGGGGGGGGGGGGGGGCGGGGGGUGUGCGGGGGAGGUGCGAGCGGGGGGGGAACGCGUAGGUAACCUGCCUGGUAGCGGGGGAGGACGAUGGGGGACGAUAGGUAAUACCGCAUAACAGUAGAUGUGGCAUGAUGGCUACUUAAGAGGUGCAAUUGCACCACUACCAGAUGGACCGGCGUUGUAUUAGCUAGUUGGUGAGGUAACGGCUCACCAAGGCGACGAUACAUAGCCGACCUGAGAGGGUGAUCGGCCACACUGGGACUGAGACACGGCCCAGACUCCUACGGGAGGCAGCAGUAGGGAAUCUUCGGCAAUGGACGGAAGUCUGACCGAGCAACGCCGCGUGAGUGAAGAAGGUUUUCGGAUCGUAAAGCUCUGUUGUAAGAGAAGAACGAGUGUGAGAGUGGAAAGUUCACACUGUGACGGUAUCUUACCAGAAAGGGACGGCUAACUACGUG